rnacentral:rRNA from 1 species
GGUUGCGAUCAUACCAGCGUUAAUGCACCGGAUCCCAUCAGAACUCUGCAGUUAAGCGAGCUUGGGCUAGAGUAGUACUGGGAUGGGUGACCUCCCGGGAAGUCCUAGUGUUGCACCCU